rnacentral:tRNA from 1 species
GCCCGUGUGGCUCAGUUGGUAGAGCAUGGUGUUUGCAACGCCAGGGUUGUGGGUUCGAUUCCCAUAGGGGACC